GUCUGUCUGUCUGUCUGUGUGCUCUGAUCAGAUCUCCUGUGUGGAGCAACACUGGUGUGAAACUGACGUUCCACAUUCCCAGUGCCGAUAAUAAAGGCGUGGUCAAAGUAUGUGUUCUCCUCCCAGACGGUAGUUGCCAUGGCAAUGCUACAAUCACCUACCGGUCAUCCCCAUCCUGCACCCACAUUGUACCAAGCAGCACCUGGAUCAGUGGGAAGAGGAAGAUCACACUCAUGGGAUCCCACCUGGAGUUUGUGGAAGGGGUCAUGCACAGCCGGUCAGGCACAGAAGUCAGACUUUCCAGAAACAGGAACAAUCAGAGUCUCAUCUAUGACACACCUGCAGCUGAAAAAGGGAUUUCUACUAGCACUGUGUUUCUGAAAGUAGCCAAUGAAACCUUGGCCUGCCUACCAAUGACCUACUAUCCAGAGCCUGAGUUCACUAGCUUCACAUCCACAAGGACAGGGGACGAUGUGCGCAUCACCAUACAGGUAAUGCAUAUUUAUAGCACACAUGCACAAAUAUAGGACAUGAAUACAUAAAAGGUCAGUGUUUGUUUCGGUUUUUAUUUCAGAAAAAGGCAGACAAACUGGAGAUGACCAUAGCAGAGUUGGAGGUGUGGGGCGUUGAGGAAGAAAAAAAACACCCCUGCAUCAUGGUAACCAAAGAAACCAGUAAUGAGACUGACUUUUUCAUCUGUGAGAUUCAAAGGACAGCCAACGCUAACUUUCAGCAGUUAAUGGUAAAUCUUUCAGCCACA
rnacentral:lncRNA from 1 species